CCAGUAGGCCGGGUGACCGCUCCUCGGUCCUGGCAUCGGGGAGAGGAAAGUCCGAGCUCCACCGGGCGAGCGUGCUGGGUAACUCCCAGGCGGGGCGACCCGACGGAAAGUGCCACAGAAACACACCGCCUCCAGCCUUUGGCGGGGGGUAAGGGUGAAAUGGUGCGGCAAGAGCGCACCAGCGGCCGGGAGACCGACCGGCUGGGCAAACCCCACGCGGAGCAAGGCCAAAUAGGAGGACAAUAGGCGCCCGGCCUGUCCUCGGGUUGGCCGCUGGAGGUGGUGGGCAACCGCCAUCCUAGAGUGAUGGUCACCGCUCCCCGCUUAGGCGGGGGGUACAGAACUCGGCUUACAGGCCUACUGGGCCG
rnacentral:RNase_P_RNA from 2 species